rnacentral:lncRNA from 1 species
CUAUGCUAAAGAAUAGAAGUAAUGAUUUAAUCAGAAGGCUAGCAAGGAAUAGAAAGGAUUGGUAAUAAAAUCUUGUGACUGCUCACAGCCUCGACACAGGCGGCUGUCAUUGGUCAUCAAGUAAAAACAAUUCACAUGCUGGGUAAACAAAUCUCUAAGUCACAUUCCAAAGCAGCGAAACAUGGAGAAGCUGAAGCUUCUCAGGGAAAAGGAUCCAAACAAAAGGAUUUUUCAUAAAAUAUACCUGUGACAUUUGCUAUUGGUUGUUUUGGUUUUUGGUUGUUUUUUUGUAAUGCCUCUUACUUGUCAUAACCCUGUGAUGCAUUAUGAAUAAUGCACUCCUUGUAAAAAAUGGCUUUUUUGCAGUGAGGGUGCAAUGCUUUCUUUCUAAUCUCCAGUUUCAUUCUUUGAUUUGAAAAUGCAGGUUUUAGAGACUCCACUCAAGAAGAUGGAUACGGCAGCGCAGUGGUGCAGUUCAAUUUUGGAUUUUGCCUUUAUUGGGAUGUUGCAGAGCAGCACCACUGACCCAUGGAUUGUACCUGACAGUGUUUUAACUGCCACUGGGGCCACCAGACUUGCUGGGAACUGGGAAUCUCCAAAGCCAGGUAGGAGAGAACAAGCAAACUGGAAAUCUCCAAAGCCAGGUGGGAGAGAACGAAUAAACUGGGAAUCUCCAAAGCCAGG